rnacentral:rRNA from 1 species
UACGUAGGGUGCAAGCGUUGUCCGGAAUUAUUGGGCGUAAAGAGCUCGUAGGCGGUUUGUCACGUCGGGUGUGAAACUCUGAGGCUCAACCUCAGACCUGCAUUCGAUACGGGCAGACUAGAGUACUGUAGGGGAGACUGGAAUUCCUGGUGUAGCGGUGAAAUGCGCAGAUAUCAGGAGGAACACCGGUGGCGAAGGCGGGUCUCUGGGCAGUAACUGACGCUGAGGAGCGAAAGCGUGGGGAGCGAACAGG